UGUCUCUGCCUCUCCGCCACCUCCACCGCAGCCUCUGACCCCCGGCCGGCGUUGUUGGCGGGGAGGG
rnacentral:miRNA from 1 species